rnacentral:rRNA from 1 species
CUAACCGUAAACGAUGACAACCAGCGAUUAAUCGGCGUUAAUAUACGACCCGAUUAGCAGCUUCCGGGAAACCAAAGUUUUUCGUUUCCGGGGGAAGUAUGGUUGCAAAGCUGAAACUUAAAGGAAUUGACGGAAGGGCACCACCAGGAGUGGAGCCUGCGGCUUAAUUUGACUCAACACGGGAAAACUCACCCGGCCCGGACACUGUAAGGAUUGACAGACUGAGAGCUCUUUCUUAAUUCAGUGGGUGGUGGUGCAUGGCCGUUCUUAGUUGGUGGAGCGAUUUGUCUGGUUAAUUCCGAUAACGAACGAGACUCUGGCCUAUUAAAUAGACGAGGUAUUUAAAAGUAUCUCGCACUUCUUAGAGGGACAAGCGGCGUCUAGUCGCAUGAAAAAGAGCAAUAACAGGUCUGUGAUGCCCUUAGAUGUCCGGGGCUGCACGCGCGCUACACUGAAAGAAUCAGUGCGCAUUUUAACCUAGUCCGGAAGGACCGGGUAACCCAAGUAAAUUCUUUCGUGCUUGGGAUAGGGAAUUGCAAUUAUUUCCCUUAAACGAGGAAUUCCCAGUAAAUGCGGGUCAUAAGCUCGCGUUG